UUGCUAGGGAUAUCCGAAUAUGGGGCUCGGCUUGGGGGGAAAAAGGGUGGAGGGGACUCAGACAGUCAGAUUCGGUGGAGGGCUUAGGGCUAGGGUUUCAUUUGUUCACACUUCGACUUCAUUGUUCCUCUACGCAGCAGCUCUCCAUUGGACCAUCUCCUUCUCCAUUCUCUAUUUCUCACUUCUCAGUUCUCACUCUCAGUCUCAGACCUCAGUUCUCACUCUCAUUUCUUCGCGAACGGCGAAUCCCUUGUUUGGCUCUCCUGGUUUUGCGAAUCCCUCCUCGGCUCUUCCCUCGCAUGGGCGUGGCGACGACUCUUCACUCAAUGACUCAACCACUCAGAGGUGCUCUGUUUUGGUCAUGAUAGAGCCUACUCUCUAUCCACAGUUGCUUAUUUUUGGUGAACCACAAAUUUCCCAAAAGAUAAAUGGGAAAAGAUGGGGAUAGAUUGGGGAGGGGAGAGUAGACAAUCGAAAGAUCAAAGAAGAGUUGUCACAGGUUGCAUUGGAGUCCACAAUUGGUGAAUAAGCCAAACAAAGAAAGACAAAGGGUUAUGGCUUGCUGUGGGAUGGUAGGAAGGGCUUGCAACAAAUGAUGGGUUGGGUUUUGGUGGAAGUCAUAUAAAUUACAUGCUAUCAAUUAUUCAUUAUUUUGGUUUGUUGCAUGUGAAAUAAGCACAAGGAAAGACCCAUUUUGUGUGCUCAUUCCAAUGGUUGUUUGUAAUGUAAGAAGCUGAAGAGUGGGAGUUUCUAAUAUAAGAAGCCAUGAAAUUGUAGUUGUCAGUUGAUAUAUGAAGCAUUGAAGCCCCA